rnacentral:rRNA from 1 species
UACAGAGGGUGCGAGCGUUUGUUCGGAAUUACUGGGCGUAAAGGGUGCGUAGGCGGCGCGGUAAGUCGGGUGUGAAAUCUCGGAGCUUAACUCCGAAACUGCAUUCGAUACUGCCGUGCUUGAGGACUGGAGAGGAGACUGGAAUUUACGGUGUAGCGGUGAAAUGCGUAGAUAUCGUAAGGAAGACCAGUGGCGAAGGCGGGUCUCUGGACAGUUCCUGACGCUGAGGCACGAAGGUCAGGGGGAGCAAACGGG